rnacentral:rRNA from 1 species
AUUGAACGCUGGCGGCAUGCCUUACACAUGCAAGUCGAACGGCAGCGCGGGGCAACCUGGCGGCGAGUGGCGAACGGGUGAGUAAUAUAUCGGAACAUACCCUAGAGUGGGGGAUAACGUAGCGAAAGUUACGCUAAUACCGCAUACGCACUAAGGUGGAAAGUGGGGGAUUCGCAAGAACCUCAUGCUCAUGGAGUGGCCGAUAUCUGAUUAGCUAGUUGGUGAGGUAAAGGCUCACCAAGGCGACGAUCAGUAGCUGGUUUGAGAGAACGACCAGCCACACUGGAACUGAGACACGGUCCAGACUCCUACGGGAGGCAGCAGUGGGGAAUUUUGGACAAUGGGGGCAACCCUGAUCCAGCAGUGCCGCGUGCAGGAAGAAGGCCUCGGUGUAACUAGCUUUGUUCUAGGGAAGGAAAGUACCUCUAGGUUAA